rnacentral:tRNA from 1 species
GCCUUCCUAGCUCAAUGGUAGAGCAGUGGACUUUUAAUCCAUUGGUUCAGGGUUCGAGCCCCUGGGAAGGCACCA